rnacentral:rRNA from 1 species
GAUGAACGCUGGCGGCGUGCCUAAUACAUGCAAGUCGAGCGAACGGACGAGAAGCUUGCUUCUCUGAUGUUAGCGGCGGACGGGUGAGUAACACGUGGAUAACCUACCUAUAAGACUGGGAUAACUUCGGGAAACCGGAGCUAAUACCGGAUAAUAUUUUGAACCGCAUGGUUCAAAAGUGAAAGACGGUCUUGCUGUCACUUAUAGAUGGAUCCGCGCUGCAUUAGCUAGUUGGUAAGGUAACGGCUUACCAAGGCAACGAUGCAUAGCCGACCUGAGAGGGUGAUCGGCCACACUGGAACUGAGCCACGGUCCAGACUCCUACGGGAGGCAGCAGUAGGGACUCUUCCGCAAUGGGCGAAAGCCUGACGGAGCAACGCCGCGUGAGUGAUGAAGGUCUUCGGAUCGUAAAACUCUGUUAUUAGGGAAGAACAUAUGUGUAAGUAACUGUGCACAUCUUGACGGUACCUAAUCAGAAAGCCACGGCUAACUACGUG